UGGAAGUGUAAUCUGACAGAAGAAAGCUGUAGAGUUCUGUCCUCAGUUCUCAGCUCAAACUCCUCCAGUCUGAGAGAACUGGACCUGAGUGUCAAUAAACUGCAGGAUUCAGGAGUGAAGCUGCUCUCUGCUGGACUGGAGAAUCCACACUGUACACUGGAGACACUGGAGAUGCGUUACUGCCGUAUUAGAGAUGAGGGGUGUGCUGCUCUGGCUUCAGCUCUGAGGUCAAACUUCUCAUCACACCUGAGAGAACUGGAUCUGAACGGUAAUAAUCCAGGAGAAUCAGGAGUGAAGCUGCUCUCUGAUCUACUGAAGGAUCCACACUGUAAACUGGAGACACUACACAUUAAGGAUUGUAAACUCACCAGGACUGGCGUAUGACAGGAGUCUCACCUCAAACCUCUUUUCCAGGAUAAAGCAGUUUGGUGAAGCGUUAGAACCCGUCCCACAUUUCCAGCAGUUUGGGAGCUGAAUCAUUCAUAUUCAGAUGUAGAAGUUCCAUAACAAUAACCAUGACUGAUCACAUCCUUUUAUCCACUCAGCUACAAGUUACUUCAGGCUUUAAUAACAUAUUUUACAGUCCAAAAUCAAAUCCUUCAGCAUCUACACACAACACAGAGAUAUCAUCACAUCAUCACACUGAUUACACAAAUACACACUCACAUUUUUUAUCUACUUAUUCAGAGUGUGUUUCUGCUCAACAGUUUUAUUCAGUUUGUUGUACCAUGACAGUGAAACAUUUGCUUCUCCACAGAUGAUUGAUUCACAGUUGUAAUAUUGAUUAAAUUUUUUUUUUUUAUUCAAAUAAUUGUUCCUUGUUUGCUAAUUUGUUUUGAUAGUAAUCAUGAUAUUUUGAUUAUUUAAGGUAUUUAGAUUUUUAAACUAAAAAACAGUAACUGAAACUUAACUACAUGCACUGUAUAUAUUCCUGUUAUUUAAUAGUUUUGUAUAUGUGUUGUGUGUAUGUCAUUUACACUAUGUGUAGUACAAAAUAAACAGUGACUGUGACUGAAACACAACAGUUCAGGUGUGUGUGGACUGUACUGUAAUUACUCUUAGCAUCGACCACUACCAGGACUAACACGUGUUCCACCACACUGAGAAACUUCAAUGUUGUGUCACGAUUCAUGAACUCUGAGCUGGACUUUCUGACUGUUCAAGAGGAAUCUUAUCGUAACCAUGGUGACAGUGAGAGUCUCAGCUGUUCAGAGUGAACACACCCCCCCAUAUGCCCCACUGCCUGCAUUAAUUAUUACUAUAGAGCAGUGUGUGAUGCUGUGAGUGUGCUAGUGGUGGCUGAUGUCCAGUAAAUAAUGUGGUAAUGUUAGCUUCAAACAAAGCAUGUGUCAGUCAGACAUGCAUUUAC